rnacentral:rRNA from 1 species
UACGGGGGGGGCAAGCGUUGUUCGGAAUUACUGGGCGUAAAGGGCUCGUAGGCGGCCAACUAAGUCAGACGUGAAAUCCCUCGGCUUAACCGGGGAACUGCGUCUGAUACUGGAUGGCUUGAGGUUGGGAGAGGGAUGCGGAAUUCCAGGUGUAGCGGUGAAAUGCGUAGAUAUCCGGAGGAACACCGGUGGCGAAGGCGGCUUCCUGGACCGACACUGACGCUGAGGCGCGAAAGCUAGGGGAGCAAACGGG